AGUCUCUCUUGCGCUCUGUAAACACAGCAAACCCGGCAGACUCUGCUUCAGAAGAAUUAUAUUUUCAUAAGCUAAAUACUGUCGUUCUCUUUGAUUUGUGCGCUUGGGCUUGACUUUUUCUGCCCUCCUCUUUUGGACAACAAGGGCAGAAUCUUUUAGUGCACCAUCAGAUCCGUGCCUGGGUUGUCUGCAGGAUUCCUGCAAGGAGACGCAGCCUGAGCGCAGCUGCAUUCACGUGGAGGGCUGCAUUUUGAAAUUCUAGUCACACAAGGGAGUAAACACUGCUCUCCCAUUCAAUAAACGUCAUUGAUAAGAGCCCACAUUCAGUCUUUUUCAAAUACUUUAUUCAAGGAAGAACUUUAUUUUAUGUGUAAAAGAAUAAAAUUGUUUACUGCUCAAAGAAUUAUGCAACUGAAGAAUCAUGUUAAAUGUAAAUAUUUGUGUUAUGUGCCUUUACUGUAAAUGCAUUAAAAUGUGUCUUUAACUGUUUUUGAGUUCUUCUGGUUCUUUUCCUCAUGGAAGCAGUUUUCUCUUUGUCACCCAAAGGUAAUAAAAUGAGCCAAACUCGGGCACAAAAGCUUUUAUUUGGAUCAAGUGUAUCUCCCGACAUUCAUUUCUAGAACUGUUGCUGCCUGACCUCAUGUUUACUCUCUUCUCAGCAUAAAACAGGCCAUUGAAAACAACAACAAAAAAAAAAGCUAUCAUAAACAUCCUCAAAAACAUAAGCUUAAAAAAACAGGGCAUCUAUUAUUUGUGACUCCACCUUGUUUGCAACUCUUUCAGAAAACAAUGCAGGUAAACAAAACAAAUGCUGGUAGUUUGUCUUUGUCCCCCUUGCCUUCUUUUCAUGUUUUUGUUUCCACCAUUUCCAUCUCCCAUCUCAUACCCACAGCCCAGGCCCCUCCCUCCCACCACCCUUCUCACGAUCAAGCUAGGUACCCGGGUAAUUACCUGGCAUUGUCAAAUAAAGCGACCACUGAUUCAAAUGAGGAGUGAAAUAUCAAAGAGCAGUGCUGCUUUUGCAGCCAUUACUUAUCCACACCAGAGACACAGAGGAGAUCUGAGAGCUGGGGGACCUGCGGGGAAGCAGCAACACCCAAAUUUUCCUUUUUCAGGUAAAUAGGGCCAAUAGGAGCAACAGAACCAAACACGCCCAGGUUCAUUAGUAAAAGCCUGUUUAUUUGUAUUAGAUAUCUGAGUCAUCCAUUACCAGAUUAUGUGCAUUUUAAAGUGUCUGUGAAGAUGCAAGAGCGAUUUUGCAAUGUUUCUGCAUCCUGCGGAGGCUCUCGCAGAGGUCAAAGGUUGGAAGUGUAUACAGUUUGCACUCAGGCUUUUCUGUCGCAACAUUUAUUCUGUGGUUCUGGUUCACAAAGGGAGGAAUAAAGGAAAGUCUGUCACUGGGAUUAGAAGUGAACAGUGUAUUAAUGUUUGGCAGCACAAGCCCUCAGCCAAAUUAGCUGCACGACCACAUGAUCAUUCAUCACAUGCAAUGUUUGACUUUGAUUUUCCUCCUGAUGAAAGUUGUGCAAGGUCUCAAAUGAACUUCCUUAAGUAGUUUGAAUCAUUUUCUUCCCACUACAUUGCGUUACAUGAUCCUGCUUUUGUGAAAUAAUCUGAUGUGUCGUGUAAAUCCUUCAUCUGCUUGAUGACACCCUGAUUCCAGCGGCAUGGACAGCAAGACCUUUGGCUUGUUGGCACGGAGGACGAAUGCAGAGAACAUUGUUGCUGCUCUGGAAUCAACCAAAAAAAAAAAA